rfam:Veillonellaceae bacterium DNF00626 genomic scaffold Scaffold16, whole genome shotgun sequence.
UGCGUGACGCAACCGCACAUAAAAGGUUUAAAUGUUUCUUUGGGAACUACCUGUUUUGGCGAGUAUAGUAUGAAG